CUUGCUCUUAUGAAGUUAGCGGCGGACGGGUGAGUAACACGUGGGUAACCUGCCCAUAAGACUGGGAUAACUCCGGGAAACCGGGGCUAAUACCGGAUAACAUUUUGAACCGCAUGGUUCGAAAUUGAAAGGCGGCUUCGGCUGUCACUUAUGGAUGGACCCGCGUCGCAUUAGCUAGUUGGUGAGGUAACGGCUCACCAAGGCAACGAUGCGUAGCCGACCUGAGAGGGUGAUCGGCCACACUGGGACUGAGACACGGCCCAGACUCCUACGGGAGGCAGCAGUAGGGAAUCUUCCGCAAUGGACGAAAGUCUGACGGAGCAACGCCGCGUGAGUGAUGAAGGCUUUCGGGUCGUAAAACUCUGUUGUUAGGGAAGAACAAGUGCUAGUUGAAUAAGCUGGCACCUUGACGGUACCUAACCAGAAAGCCACGGCUAACUACGUGCCAGCAGCCGCGGUAAUACGUAGGUGGCAAGCGUUAUCCGGAAUUAUUGGGCGG
rnacentral:rRNA from 1 species